GACGAACGCUGACGGCGUGCUUAACACAUGCAAGUCGUACGGUAAGGCCCUUCGGGGUACACGAGUGGCGAACGGGUGAGUAACACGUGGGUGAUCUGCCCUGCACUUCGGGAUAAGACUGGGAAACUGGGUCUAAUACCGGAUAGGACCACUGCCUGCAUGGGUGGGGGUGGAAAGCUUUUGCCGGGUGGGAUGGGCUCGCGGCCUAUCAGCUUGUUGGUGGGGUGAUGGCCUACCAAGGCGACGACGGGUAGCCGGCCUGAGAGGGUGACCGGCCACACUGGGACUGAGAUACGGCCCAGACUCCUACGGGAGGCAGCAGUGGGGAAUAUUGCACAAUGGGCGCAAGCCUGAUGCAGCGACGCCGCGUGAGGGAUGACGGCCUUCGGGUUGUAAACCUCUUUCAGCACCGACGAAGCGCAAGUGACGGUAGGUGCAGAAGAAGGACCGGCCAACUACGUGCCAGCAGCCGCAGUAA
rnacentral:rRNA from 1 species